CGAAGAAUAGAUUUCACAUUAAGAAGAGAUAACACCUCAACAAUGAGAUCUCCAGAGAUGAACACCGGAUAUGGAAACAUGAUUGUAAAUUCUGUAAAUUCGUUGUGUAGAAUUAUGGAUAAGCAAGACCUUGGUUUCAACAUGGCAUUUUGGAGGAAGCUUGCCAAACAAGGAAGCUGGGAAAGCAACAGUUCGCGCCGCGAACUUCCUUCGCGCCGCGAAGGCUGCGAAUCCAGCAAGCUGACCAAGGGUCAAAGGUGCUGCUGUGCAGAAAAAGUGAUUGCCAUUUUGAUGUCUGCCUGGGAAGUGCUUUUCUACUGCAGAUGACAAUGUCCAAUUAGGGAAAUGUCAACCUUUUUGGUAGAGACAAAAUAGUUUAACCUAGGUUUUGAAAAACAUUAUUCCAUUCAUUCACACAGUGUGCUGUAGAGCUUUUGCAAUAGAGAAAACAGAGUUUUUCUUCUAAAAACCUUCUGCUUUGUAACAAUGGUGAUGAGGAGCUAAACUCCCUUUUGUCAAGAUUGGAGGUAGUAGCUAUUCUCAUCUGUCUAUGUAUUCACUUUGAUUUAUAUAUGAGAUAGAGAUUGUUGAUGUA